GAUGAACGCUAGCGGCAGGCUUAAUACAUGCAAGUCGAGGGGCAGCACGCUUCGCAGCAAUGCGGGAUGGGGGCGACCGGCAAACGGGUGAGGAUCGUGUACACAAUCUUCCCUGAGCAGGGGGAUAACCCGGGGAAACCAGUACUAAUAACCCGUUGUUGAUUUUUGAGGGAUCUUUGAGGGAUUAAAACUCCGGUGGUGUUGGAUGAGUGUGCGUCCCAUUAGGUAGUUGGCAGGGUAACGGCCUACCAAGCCUUCGAUGGGUAACUGGUGUGAGGGCACGACCAGUCACAGGGGGACCGGGACACGGGCCCGACUGCUACGGGAGGCAGCAGUACGGAAUGUUGGACAAUGGACGCAAGUCUGAACCAGCCAUGCCGCGUGAAGGAUGAAGGUCCUCUGGAUUGUAAACUUCUUUUAUAGGGCGCGAAAAAAGGGUUUUUUAACUCACUUGACGGUACCUUAUAAAUAAGCACCGGCUAACUCCGUG
rnacentral:rRNA from 1 species